rnacentral:rRNA from 1 species
UACGUGGGGAGCAAGCGUUGUUCGGAUUUACUGGGCGUAAAGGGCGCGUAGGCGGUCAGCACAAGUCAGUUGUGAAAUCUCCGGGCUUAACUCGGAAAGGUCAACUGAUACUGUGCGACUAGAGUGCGGAAGGGGCAACUGGAAUCCUCGGUGUAGCGGUGAAAUGCGUAGAUAUCGAGAGGAACACCUGCGGCGAAGGCGGGUUGCUGGGCCGACACUGACGCUGAUGCGCGAAAGCCAGGGGAGCGAACGGG